AGAGUUUGAUCAUGGCUCAGAUUGAACGCUGGCGGCAGGCCUAACACAUGCAAGUCGAGCGGAAACGAGUUAUCUGAACCUUCGGGGAACGAUAACGGCGUCGAGCGGCGGACGGGUGAGUAAUGCCUAGGAAAUUGCCCUGAUGUGGGGGAUAACCAUUGGAAACGAUGGCUAAUACCGCAUGAUGCCUACGGGCCAAAGAGGGGGACCUUCGGGCCUCUCGCGUCAGGAUAUGCCUAGGUGGGAUUAGCUAGUUGGUGAGGUAAUGGCUCACCAAGGCGACGAUCCCUAGCUGGUCUGAGAGGAUGAUCAGCCACACUGGAACUGAGACACGGUCCAGACUCCUACGGGAGGCAGCAGUGGGGAAUAUUGCACAAUGGGCGCAAGCCUGAUGCAGCCAUGCCGCGUGUGUGAAGAAGGCCUUCGGGUUGUAAAGCACUUUCAGUCGUGAGGAAGGUAGUGUAGUUAAUAGCUGCAUUAUUUGACGUUAGCGACAGAAGAAGCACCGGCUAACUCCGUGCCAGCAGCCGCGGUAAUACGGAGGGUGCGAGCGUUAAUCGGAAUUACUGGGCGUAAAGCGCAUGCAGGUGGUUUGUUAAGUCAGAUGUGAAAGCCCGGGGCUCAACCUCGGAAUAGCAUUUGAAACUGGCAGACUAGAGUACUGUAGAGGGGGGUAGAAUUUCAGGUGUAGCGGUGAAAUGCGUAGAGAUCUGAAGGAAUACCGGUGGCGAAGGCGGCCCCCUGGACAGAUACUGACACUCAGAUGCGAAAGCGUGGGGAGCAAACAGGAUUAGAUACCCUGGUAGUCCACGCCGUAAACGAUGUCUACUUGGAGGUUGUGGCCUUGAGCCGUGGCUUUCGGAGCUAACGCGUUAAGUAGACCGCCUGGGGAGUACGGUCGCAAGAUUAAAACUCAAAUGAAUUGACGGGGGCCCGCACAAGCGGUGGAGCAUGUGGUUUAAUUCGAUGCAACGCGAAGAACCUUACCUACUCUUGACAUCCAGAGAACUUUCCAGAGAUGGAUUGGUGCCUUCGGGAACUCUGAGACAGGUGCUGCAUGGCUGUCGUCAGCUCGUGUUGUGAAAUGUUGGGUUAAGUCCCGCAACGAGCGCAACCCUUAUCCUUGUUUGCCAGCGAGUAAUGUCGGGAACUCCAGGGAGACUGCCGGUGAUAAACCGGAGGAAGGUGGGGACGACGUCAAGUCAUCAUGGCCCUUACGAGUAGGGCUACACACGUGCUACAAUGGCGCAUACAGAGGGCAGCAAGCUAGCGAUAGUGAGCGAAUCCCAAAAAGUGCGUCGUAGUCCGGAUUGGAGUCUGCAACUCGACUCCAUGAAGUCGGAAUCGCUAGUAAUCGUGGAUCAGAAUGCCACGGUGAAUACGUUCCCGGGCCUUGUACACACCGCCCGUCACACCAUGGGAGUGGGCUGCAAAAGAAGUAGGUAGUUUAACCUUCGGGAGGACGCUUACCACUUUGUGGUUCAUGACUGGGGUGAAGUCGUAACAAGGUAGCGCUAGGGGAACCUGGCGCUG
rnacentral:rRNA from 1 species